rnacentral:lncRNA from 1 species
UGAGCUUCUCGCCAGGUCUCCUGCCCCACCCACAACUCCCCCAGCCGCUGAGGAGCCCCCAGCAGAGCUGGGGUUGAAGAGGCAGCUUGUCCCCCGACCUUCAGGAAUGGCAGCCUGCAGCAACUGGAACAAGGCCCCACCGUAAAGCUCUGUGUGUCCCAGGGUCUUCCUGUCACCCAGGCUGGAGUACAGUAGCGUGAUCACAGCUCACUGCAGCCUUGACCUCCCGGGCUCAAGACAUCCUCCUGCCUCAGCCUCCUGAGUAGCUGGGACUGCAGUUGUAAGCCACCGUGUCCAGCCAGUUUCUGUUGUUUGAAGCCCCCAGUGAGUGCAGACUUCUAGAUUGGGAAACGAAGCUCUGCUGGGCGUGGUGGCUCACACCUGUGAGUGGCUCCCAGCACUUUGAGAGGCCGAGGAGGGAGGACUGCUUGAAGCCAGAAGUUCAAG